UACGUAGGUGGCGAGCGUUGUCCGGAUUUACUGGGCGUAAAGAGCGCGUAGGCGCCUGUCAAGUCCGAGGUGAAAUCUCCCGGCUCAACCGGGAGAGGUCUUUGGAUACUGCCAGGCUUGAGGUAGGUAGAGGAGAGCGGAAUUCCCGGUGUAGCGGUGGAAUGCGUAGAUAUCGGGAGGAACACCAGUGGCGAAGGCGGCUCUCUGGGCCUCACCUGACGCUGAGGCGCGAAAGCGUGGGGAGCGAACCGGAUUAGAUACCCGCGUA
rnacentral:rRNA from 1 species